UUUGGGGUAAGUAAUAAUAUUAGUAUUAUUAAUUUAAAUAGAUCUUUAUAAAAUAAAAUGAAAUAGGUACUCUAGGGAUAACAGCGUUAUUGUUAUUAAAGAUCUUAUUAAAAUAAUAGUUUGCGACCUCGAUGUUGAAUUGCGGNUGUGUGAUCAGAGUAGAAAAUGUUCCCCAUNAGGUCU
rnacentral:rRNA from 1 species